UCCGGACUGCACAGGACAGCGUAGCAGCUAACGGCUGCCCACCGUGAGGUGAGGAUCAGAGCAACAGAGACGAGUCGGAGCACCGUCCCGCUACCAGGGGUGUUCUAUGGGCCGCCAGCGCGAGCUGGCGCCGACUGGCGCAAGCCAGGCGGUUCCCGGCGCAAGCCGGGAAAGCACAUAGCCACCCGGGGCGCGGGACGCGCUCCGGGUGAAACGGGCAAUCUCUACGCGCAGCAAUACCAAGUAGGCCAGCGUUGAUGUGGUUCCGCAGAGCUGGCGGGUAGGUAGCACCGAGCCGGGUGGGCGACCCCCGGCCCAGAGUAAUGGCGGUCACGCUGCGGGCAACCGCAGUGCACAGAAUCCGGCUUAUCGGCGCGCUUCACAC
rnacentral:RNase_P_RNA from 2 species